rnacentral:siRNA from 1 species
UCACCAAUGUUGGAUGGAAGUGGU